GAUGAACGCUGGCGGCGUGCCUAAUACAUGCAAGUAGAACGCUGAAGGAAGGAGCUUGCUCUUUCCGGAUGAGUUGCGAACGGGUGAGUAACGCGUAGGUAACCUGCCUGGUAGCGGGGGAUAACUAUUGGAAACGAUAGCUAAUACCGCAUAACAGUAGAUGUUGCAUGACAACUAUUUGAAAGGGGCAAUUGCUCCACUACCAGAUGGACCUGCGUUGUAUUAGCUAGUUGGUGAGGUAACGGCUCACCAAGGCGACGAUACAUAGCCGACCUGAGAGGGUGAUCGGCCACACUGGGACUGAGACACGGCCCAGACUCCUACGGGAGGCAGCAGUAGGGAAUCUUCGGCAAUAGACGGAAGUCUGACCGAGCAACGCCGCGUGAGUGAAGAAGGGUUUCGGAUCGUAAAGCUCUGUUGUAAGAGAAGAACGAGUGUGAGAGUGGAAAGUUCACAAUGUGACGGUAUCUUACCAGAAAGGGACGGCUAACUACGUG
rnacentral:rRNA from 1 species